GUAUAUAAAUGUAAUAAAUAAAUGAAUCACGGGAUACUGCCCUAUGACACCCAGAGAACCUUUUUGCGAUUGGAUAGCUCCUCAGUUGGAUAAACAAUAAAUAACUCAUCUUUUGCUAAACCAUUCUAUCCCACAUCUUUCUAUCUCCCUCCUAAUAGAACACUUUUCAAUUAAAGGAAUGAGACUUUGGCAUGACAAAGUGGCCUCUAAUGGUGAAUAAAAUGAGUAUCAUCAUUAACAAGAGAAAUAGUUCCUGGGCACAAUUAGUAAGAGAAAAUGCAUUUUUGUGAAAUAUACAGCAUGGAAGUGUUUGAUGCUUCUUCUUUUAUUAUUAUUUCACCUAAAUGAAGUAGACGUAAAGAUUCUUUUUUGGUGCGUGUGUAUUUUAAUUUAAAAGACACUGGAUUUCAAGACGUGAUCUCAAAAUCAAUCUAGGAAUAGCAUCUUGGUCAUAUUCACCCUAGAGAUGUGUUCUGCCCUGUCAGACAGUUAAUUAAUAUACUUCAGUUCUGCUGUAAAGUUAAUCUCUUUUCCGUAUUUAUCUAGGCUGAUGCUGAGGAAGCAUUUGACAGUGAAUGGUGCUUUUCUAUUUAUAACUUUUUAGGCCAUUUAAUUUCAGAGAAAUGUUUUGUUACAUGGAGGGCAGGCCCAUCAAUAGCUGCUGCAGACAGCUGGCCCUGAGUCCCCAUCUGUUAUUCAGAAUUUACGUCCUUGGUGUCCGAAUGUCAAAAAGUGGGAGCAAAUAACUGGGCAUAUAAUAUUUCCUAACUUUCUUGGUUUCCCCCCUGAAACAGCCAAUGCUGAGAUGUUUGAUGAAUAUAAGAAAAGCCCUACUGGAUCUAACCAAAGACUCAUCCAGCCCAGUACUCUGUUUCUAGCAGUGGCUAGCCAAAUGCCUCUCCGAUGCUUAGAAAAUAGGCCAUGAAGGCAAUAACUUUCCGCUUCUUCUUCUUUCAUUUGUAUACUUCUCCUGAACAUUAAAGUUCUACAUAGCUUUGAUGAGUAAUAACUACUGAGAGGACUGUCAUCCAUAAAUUUCUCCAAUGCCUUUUUUUCCAAAAUAUAGCCAAGUUAAUUACACAUUCCGUGAGGAAUUACUCUCUUGUCCUAAAUGUUGCCUAUUUCAUUGGGUAAUCAUGAGUUCUAGGAUUCUGAGGGAGGAUGGACAAUGCCAUUCAUUAUUCUAUAAACCUCUAUCGUGUGUCCACUCCCUCAACCUUAACUACCUUUUAUCCUAAACUUAAAUACCCUCAAUCUGUUCAUCUUUCCUGAAGGAACCCUUUAAUCACAACAGUUGCCCUUCUCAACCUCUAGAAUAUGGAGAUGGGAUACUGAGCAAGACUAAACUUGGCUGAACAACAUCACAGGGUCCCCCCCCCCUUCUUGACUUGCUAUUUAAAAUAAAUGAUUAAACUAUAUUAGAAUUAUAUCUUGAGCAUCAUCGGUUGAUCCAGAUAUCACAAUGAAAGAAAUGUUCAGAAAGAUAAAACUUGUUUUAUAGCAGAUAUUCUGACUGGGGUGCACGGAGAAAGACCAUAGGUCAGUGGUAAAGAGAGCAUUAGCCUCACAUUUAGAUGGUUCCGGUUUCCUCAGCAUCUCCAGGUAGAGUUGGGAAAACUCCUUACUGAGACCCUGGACAGCCUCUGCCACUCAGUGUGAAUAAUAAUGAGGUAGACCAAUAAAAACAGCCUCCUCUGUUCCAAACCUAACUGAUAGAUGAGGAAUCAUGAACAACUAGAAAGCUAGGAAUGCCAUAUGCUUAAAAAAUUCAGAGCUGAGUCAGGAUAGUUAGAUGUGUUUGAAUAAUCCUGACUUCUUCUGUUCAUUGAGUAACUAACUUUAUUUUAUUUCCUGAAGCUGGUCCCUGUAGAACCUUCCAUGGCCUGAUUCACUAUCUAGACCUACAUUUAUGUAUGUAGCAUAAUUGACUAUACCCAUGUCAAGCAAUUUGCUGUGUAAUGCUUAAGAGUUUGGCUGAGGUUUUUAAAAUAGGUGCAAGCAGGGGAAAUCCACAACUGUUCUUUAUGCUGCUAAAGAUGUGGCUAGGAGCAGUUAUAAGAAUGUUGAUUAGCUCACAGGACUAUUCCAUUUUUCUUCAUCAAAGGGGGAUAUUCACCAUACAGAUCCUACCUACAUUAGCUUGAAGCAAAUAUUGGCAGCAGCACGAGCAGGUGAUUUUAAGGAAGGUUGAUUGACUGAUUAGGAAACACAUGAACACAGGUUGAAGAGGCAGCUGGAUGGAUGCAUGAAUGAUUAGUGGGAUGGAAGAAACUGAUUUGGGAAGUGGCUCUUCAGAGAAACACCACAGAAAGUUUUACUUGCUUUUAUUCAAUGAAAAUUUGUAGGCAAUCCCAGGCUGAUCUGUGAAAACAAGAAAUAGAAAAAGCGGAAGUAAGAGGAUGUAGAUAAAUGGAUCCUAUUCAUUUUGUAUAUCUCUAUGGCAGGUGUGUGUGGAAAUUGCAUUCUAUAAAUAUUUCAACUUAUUUUUUAUUUUAACUUCUGUUGUUUAACUUCUUUUGCUAACUUCUUUUUGAGAAAUGUGGAUUGCAUCCCAAUAGAUACUUACCUGAGAAUAAAUCCCACAGAACUUAUCAUUUGAAAGCCACCACCUUGGGAGGGCUUUGUCCUGAAAGGUAGUAUAAGAGCAGGGCUGGUCCUACCAUAAGGUAGAGGAAGGCAACUGCCUGGGUGACAGAUCAAUCAUUUUAUUCCAAAGCUACAACCAUGCUCAAGGUGGUUUACAACAUAUUUGAAAAAUGCAUUAAUACAAACAUAUCAAAAGUAGUAAUAAACAAUAAGCCCACAAUGAAAUUGAACAAUUUUCAUAUAAAUCUUAAAAUCCAAACUAAAGAAACUAAAAAUUAACAGCUACAACAGCAACAACUCCCUUCUUCAAAACCCUCUCUAAACAAUACCCCAAGCAAAUAGUCUGCUCAGCAGCCUCAGGUUUUGCAGCUGGAGUCAAUCAGGGCCCUGCCCUCCUAGGCCAGGUGGAAAAGGCAAGGAGCAGGCCUUCCUGGUCUCACAGCCAAGAUGGUCUCAGAUGCUCAAGAGCAACUCCCACGAAUUGCCCUCUGCUGCCCCAUCGCCUGCCAGGAGUACUCCAGUCUGGCCUGCUGCCUCUGGUGUGGUGGAGAAUGUCAUCCCAUCACCAGCAUUGGAGUAAGAUUUAAAUGUAAUGCCUUGUGUUGAGCUUAUUAUGUAUGGGGAUGUUUUUACUGUUUUAAUUGUGUUUUUAUAUGCUAUAAACACAUGUGACCUUCAGGUGCAGGUCAGGU